AAAGACACGUUGGAAACGUGUUAAUGAAGUGGUAAAAAGUGAAAAGUCAAAUCGGGGGAAAAUCAAAUCUUGUUCGAUAUUCCUUCUCCCACAACGUCCUCCAUCGGAAACUGCUUCCUUCCUUCCGCACCUUAUUUAUAUAUUUGAUCGCUUGUUAGUGUAAAGAAAAAUGGAUCCGACACCGAAGGCUUCAUCAGAGAAAGAGGAGGAAGUCAUCAAAAAGAAGUAUGGAGGUAUCGUGCCAAAAAAGCCGCCACUCAUUUCUAAAGAUCAUGAACGGGCUUAUUUUGAUUCAGCUGAUUGGGCUCUGGGAAAGCAAGGUGUAGACAAGCAGCCCAAAGGACCUCUUGAGGCACUUCGGCCUAAACUACAGCCAACUCAGCAGCAAACACGAUAUAGGAAAUCACUUUGCGCCCCAAAUGAUGGACAAGAUAUGCAGGCAGCAGAGCAAAGCCAUGAAUGAUCUCAUGAAGCUUGUUAAUCAUCUCCAUUUUUUGUUUCAUGAGCAUUACAAACAUAUUAUUAUGAUAUUCUUUUUUUUUUUCUUUCAAGUGUUUUUUGUUUCUAUUUUUAUU
rnacentral:lncRNA from 1 species